rnacentral:lncRNA from 1 species
UCACGGCAGCAAGGGGUGAGACAUAUACCACCAAUAUAUAAGCUAUUGGGCGUAUUGACAUCGUGCUCCGAGGCUCGUCUAUCAAACAUCUCGCAUACAGGCUGAGCUCGUACGAAUCGUAGUCAGCAAGUCGGAAGUGAUGAUGAAUGCGACUUUGUUCCGUGGUAGACUUAGCGAUCUGUAGGCGAGUGAGGCAAACGAGGUGUGAGGCAUGGGCGUGCGAUGAAGUCUAUCAGGUGUAGGCUUCGGAACCGGCUGUGCGGGUCGAGACGCUGGCAAGGAUGUUGUUUUGCAGGGUUGCCAGAGCAGGCAGAUGAGCGGGGGGCGUGUUGGCAGACGAGACUUCAUAGCCAUGGCUUCACUCCACGUGUGCGCACCAAGGAAACCUUGGUUUAUUCAGCUGUUCACAGUACGCUUGUACCCGCCGAUGCUCAGUGGAUAUGCCAGGAUGCACAGUUGCGGAACCGCGGGGAUGUUGUAUCCCUGGCUGGGUCGCCGUUGGAUCAACGAAGGCAACGGCCUCUCCACGUGAAGUGUAGGAGCACGCGAGUUCGUAUAGGGCGACGAGAGGAUCCUCAUCCUCUCGGAACGAUCGAAACAGAGUGUCGCCAGCACUGAAUUUGAAUUUGCUCUGGACUCACCUCGCUCUCCCAGCCUUCGUUUUGCCGCUUGUGGAGCCUCAUACUUGUGCUGUAUUCGGCCAUUGGGGUGCAGUCGUGCUUUGGCUGGGGUUUCACUGCAUGUUAGGCCCUGUCGUGUUCUGCCUGGGCUAGCGCAGACUGUCAUCUGCUUGUGAAUUUUUCAGUGUUGCGUCUGGUGCCUGGGCGCUUUCUGAAUGCGACGGUCAUAUUUGUCAAGCGGUACAUAGAAUAUGUGGCUUUGGAGCAGAUCCUGGUCCCUCUGAGAACAAGAGUACCCUUGCCGUGAUUCCUGGUUCCGAGGAAAGGUAUGGUGUCUCACUAAUCCGGGGGAAUCAUGUACCGGCCAGGUAAGAUUUUACUGCGUGUUGAGAUGCUUAUUAGACUCAGAGAUAAUGCGGAGAAGCCAAAGAGCCUUCGGCCGCAUUCCAGUUCUA